rnacentral:tRNA from 1 species
AAGAUUUUAAGUUAAAAAAACUAUAUACCUUCAAAGUAUAAAUUAAAUAAUAAAAUUUAAAUCUUA